UCCCUGGUGGUCUAGGGGCUAAGACUCCUUGCUCCCAGUGCAGGGGGCUCAGGUUCAAUCCCUGAUCGGGGGA
rnacentral:tRNA from 1 species